GAUGAACGCUGGCGGCGUGCCUAGUACAUGCAAGUCGAGCGAAUGGAUUAAGAGCUUGCUCUUAUGAAGUUAGCGGCGGACGGGUGAGUAACACGUGGGUGACCUGCCCAUAAGACUGGGAUAACUCCGGGAAACCGGGGCUAAUACCGGAUAACAUUUUGAACCGCAUGGUUCGAAAUUGAAAGGCGGCUUCGGCUGUCACUUAUGGAUGGACCCGCGUCGCAUUAGCUAGUUGGGGAGGUAACGGCUCAACAAGGCAACGAUGCGUAGCCGACCUGAGAGGGUGAUCGGCCACACUGGGACUGAGACACGGCCCAGACUCCUACGGGAGGCAGCAGUAGGGAAUCUUCCGCAAUGGACGAAAGUCUGACGGAGCAACGCCGCGUGAGUGAUGAAGGCUUUCGGGUCGUAAAACUCUGUUGUUAGGGAAGAACAAGUGCUAGUUGAAUAAGCUGGCACCUUGACGGUACCUAACCAGAAAGCCACGGCUAACUACGUGCCAGCAGCCGCGGUAA
rnacentral:rRNA from 1 species